rnacentral:rRNA from 1 species
CUUUACUGCAGCUUUGCAUUGGACUUUGACGGGACAUGUGUAGGAUAGGUGGGAGGCUGUGAAGCGGGAACGCUAGUUCUCGUGGAGCCAACCUUGAAAUACCACCCUUGUGUCGUUGAGGUUCUAACCUGGACCCCUUAUCGGGGUCGGGGACCGUGCAUGGUAGGCAGUUUGACUGGGGCGGUCUCCUCCCAAAAGGUAACGGAGGAGCACGAAGGUUGGCUAGACACGGUCGGAAAUCGUGUUGAUAGUGCAAGGGCAUAAGCCAGCUUAACUGCGAGACGGACAUGUCGAGCAGAUGCGAAAGCAGGUCCUAGUGAUCCGGUGGUUCUGAAUGGAAGGGCCAUCGCUCAACGGAUAAAAGGUA